rfam:Gossypium hirsutum cultivar TM-1 chromosome 25, whole genome shotgun sequence
UGUUAAAAAAUUAAUCCAUUUCUACUAUUAAAAAUUGGAGUGGUUGACGAAAUAACCAAAAAGUUACAUUUGAGAUGUCAUGUGUACCUCAUGCUGACGUACAUGGAAUAGUUUUAACAAUAAAAAUAGAUGAAAUUUUUAACA